rnacentral:rRNA from 1 species
AUGCCGCGUGAGUGAUGAAGGCCUUAGGGUUGUAAAGCUCUACGGAUAAUGACAGUACCUGGAGAAUAAGCUCCGGCUAACGGCCAGCAGCCGCGGUAAUACGGAGGGAGCUAGCGUUGUUCGGAAUUACUGGGCGUAAAGCGCGCGUAGGCGGCUAUCCAAGUCAGGGGUGAAAUCCCGGGGCUCAACCCCGGAACUGCCCUUGAAACUAGGUAGCUAGAAUACUGAGAGGUGAGUGGAAUUCCGAGUGUAGAGGUGAAAUUCGUAGAUAUUCGGAAGAACACCAGUGGCGAAGGCGACUCACUGGACAGUUAUUGACGCUGAGGUGCGAAAGCGUGGGGAGCACGAUUAGAUACCCUGGUAGUCCACGCCGUAAACGAUGCUGCUUCCGGGCUCAUAGAGCUUGGGUGGCGCAGCUAACGCAUUAAGUUACCCUGGGGAGUCGG